rnacentral:rRNA from 1 species
AAUGAACGCUGGCGGCGCGCCUAAUACAUGCAAGUCGAGCGAGAAGACGUAGCAAUACGUUUGUAAAGCGGCGAACGGGUGAGGGAAUACAUGGGUAACCUACCCUCGAGUGGGGAAUAACUAGCCGAAAGGUUAGCUAAUACCGCGCACGCUUCCCUGGACUUCGGUUCAGGGAGGAAAGCGAUACCGUGGGUAUCGCGCUCUU